ACUACGGUGGGCAGCAGUGAGGAAUAUUGGUCAAUGGACGAGAGUCUGAACCAGCCAAGUAGCGUGAAGGAUGACUGCCCUAUGGGUUGUAAACUUCUUUUAUAUGGGAAUAAAAUGUUCCACGUGUGGGAUUAUGUAUGUACCAUAUGAAUAAGGAUCGGCUAACUCCGUGCCAGCAGCCGCGGUAAUACGGAGGAUCCGCGCGUUAUCCGGCUUUAUUGGGUUUAAAGGGAGCUUAGGUGGAUUGUUAAGGCAGUUGUGAAAGUUUGCGGCUCAAACGUAAGAUUGCAGUUGAAACUGGCAGUCGUGAGUACAGUAGAGGUAGGCGGAAUUCGUGGUGUAGCGGUGAAAUGCGUAGAUAUCACGAAGAACUCCGAUUGCGAAGGCAGUUCACUGGACUGCAACUGACGCUGAGGCUCGAAAGUGUGGGGAGCAAACAGGAUUAGAUACCCGGGUAGUC
rnacentral:rRNA from 1 species